CCUGGGCUGUCGCCGUCCCCGAGGANGUGCACGCCCAGAGUGCUCUCUCACAUCCAUCUCUCACCCCCUUUGUGCAUCACCGCGUGGGCCCCCUUCUCUUUUGGCUCGUUCCGGAGAAGGGGGGGUUCACGUUUUUAUAAGAACCACUUGUGUAGAAUGUCUUACAUUUUGCGGUCACACGCAAUCAAUACAACUUUCAACAACGGAUCUCUUGGCUCUCGCAUCGAUGAAGAACGCAGCGAAAUGCGAUACGUAAUGUGAAUUGCAGAAUUCAGUGAAUCAUCGAAUCUUUGAACGCACCUUGCGCCCCUUGGUAUUCCGAGGGGUGCACCCGUUUGAGUGUCGUGAACACCCUCAACCUUCUCGGUUUUAUCGACCGGAGAAGGCUUGGACUUUGGAGGUUUUUGUUGCUGGCCUCGUCCGAAGCCAGCUCCUCCUAAACGAAUUAGUGGGGUCCGUUGUGCCGACCGUCGACGUGAUAAGUACANGCUUCUACGUCUCGGCGUUGGCCCGGAAUCCUGCUUCCAACCCGUCGAGUUGUUGACUCGACCUUAUAAAUCUUGACCUCAAAUCGGGUGAGACUACCCGCUGAACUUAAGCAUAU
rnacentral:rRNA from 1 species